UGGGGAAUAUUGCGCAAUGGGGGAAACCCUGACGCAGCAACGCCGCGUGAUUGAAGAAGGUCUUCGGAUUGUAAAAAUCUUUUAUCAAGGACGAAGAAGUGACGGUACUUGAUGAAUAAGCUCCGGCUAACUACGUGCCAGCAGCCGCGGUAAUACGUAGGGAGCAAGCGUUAUCCGGAUUUACUGGGUGUAAAGGGAGCGCAGACGGCAUGGCAAGCCAGAUGUGAAAGGUGGGGGCUCAACCCCCAAGCUGCAUUUGGAACUGUCAAGCUAGAGUAUCGGAGAGGUAAGUGGAAUUCCUAGUGUAGCGGUGAAAUGCGUAGAUAUUAGGAGGAACACCAGUGGCGAAGGCGGCUUACUGGACGAUAACUGACGUUGA
rnacentral:rRNA from 1 species